AACCCCUUUAAAAGAGCUUACUAACGGAGAUUCCCACUUUGACAUUCAUGUUCACUUGUUCGCCUGUUAGGAAAGACGAUAGGGGUUGUCCAUGUAUCGUCAAAACUUUAAAUGCAAUAGCAUGUGAUAAGGAGAUGUUGCUAGCUUGAUGGUAGAUGUGAGAAAUUUGCAGAAAUUUCAGAAGGAAGGAUUUCAGGAAGAAGGUUUCUUGCCCUAUUGCUUUUCCUUUUCUCUUACGGAUGCUUGGUGUGUUUCUCCAGUAUAUUUGUCAGCUCCAUAGGUAGCUUCUGGUUCUAGCAUGGAUGUGGAUAAUAAGGCUAUUCGGCGCAUGGUAAGAAUUGGUCUCACCUAUAGAGUCUUAAGUUUUGUAAUUAACAACAUUGCUGAGUAAAGUGUCUGGACUUUAGAGUUCAUUUUGAAACCUCAUUGUACCGAUGGAGUUGAUAAAUUAGAUUCUUAUAGGUCUAUUGAAUUUUCCAUUUAGAUUUGCAUUUACAGAUACAGUAUUUCCGGAUUGCCUUAACCCUCGUAAUUUGUAUACGCAAAAACAUUUGUGCAAUGUUUUUUUUUUUUUUCACGUGUUAUGCUCUAUUUGAGAACUCCACUUUCUUCUCAACUGUUAUGUUCCAUCUCUAAACUCGCACCAGCUUUGUCUUCUAGUUUCUCAAUGGCUGCUUCAAUCCCCACCAUCAAACACUACAAGCUCAAUGCUGAACCACUCAAAGAAGACCCCAGUAAGUUUUAUUAUCAUUUUCUCCACAGAGUCGUCAUCGUCACGAUUUUCUUGGUCAUGCUUCCCUUAUCCGCUAGCAUUUUGACAAAAUCAAUGGGUUUGAGAGACAGUUCAGUCUGGGAUUCGACCUAAUCAACCUUGAGUAGGCCAUAUGGAAGAAGAUUGUCAACAAGAACGUCGAUUUCUUUGCGUUUAGGAUUUGCGAUUUCCAAAUGGAUUUGCUUUGCAUGCACUGGGUUCUGAUUUGAUCUUGGGAUGGGUUUAAAGGACAGACUUGAUCACUCUUACACCCAUCCAUGAUCUUCAAACUACGCAUUGUGGCAAAGAUAUUAUGCUGCAUCUUUCGUAUUUCGUGUUCAAGGAAAGUCAAAAGUCUAAGUCUGAACAAAAUUAAAAAUCUACGAUUGACAGCUCCAGAAAAAAGUUGGACAGCAAAUUUUCCGAAGGAUUUUAAAUGAGCUGUCCAAACACCGUUGGGUUAACAAGAUGAUCGAGGACGAGAUUGUGGAACCAGACCCAUUAACAAAAACAGAAGUGGGAUUCGAUUCAUUCACAAAUUGCGGAUUUAGAACAGUGGACUAUUGAGGAAGUUGCCGAUUUUGACCCAUGGCUAUGGAGGUGACGAUAAGGUGUUGUGCCCUGAAGUAGAAACAAACCCUUCAACGAUGCGCCAAGCUUGCUUGUUAUUAAAUUUAAGCCUUCCAGCAUUUAUUGUGAUCGUUUCUUAUUUGUUUUACAUGGCAUUUUCAAUUUCAAUGCAAAAAUUAAUUAGUACUUAACUUAAUUAAUUGAGAGUUGGUUUUU